GAUAAACGCUGGUGGCGUGCCUAACACAUGCAAGUCGAACGAGCCUUCGGGCUAGUGGCAAACGGGUGAGUAAUAAAUAAGUAACCUGCCUUUAAGUCUGGGAUAACUUUUCGAAAGGGAAGCUAAUACCGGAUACACUCAAUUUUUCAUAAGAAUUAUUGAGGAAAGUUUUUUCGCUUAUAGAGGGGCUUAUUUCUGAUUAGUUUGUUGGUGGGGUAAUGGCCUACCAAGACUACGAUCAGUAGCUGGUCUGAGAGGACGAACAGUCACACUGGAACUGAGACACGGUCCAGACUCCUACGGGAGGCAGCAGUGAGGAAUAUUGCGCAAUGGGCGAAAGCCUGACGCAGCGACGCCACGUGAGCGAUGAAGUCUUUAGGGAUGUAAAGCUCUGUCAAGAGGAACGAUUAUGACGGUACCUCUAAAGGAAGCCCCGGCUAACUACG
rnacentral:rRNA from 1 species